rnacentral:rRNA from 1 species
CGGUAAUACGUAGGGUCGAGCGUGUCCGGAAUUACUGGGCGUAAAGAGCUCUAGUGGUUGUCGCGUGUUCGUGAAAACCGGGGGCUAACCCUCGGCGUGCGGGCGAUACGGGCAGACUUGAGUACUGCAGGGGAGACUGGAAUUCCUGGUGUAGCGGUGGAAUGCGCAGAUAUCAGGAGGAACACCGGUGGCGAAGGCGGGUCUCUGGGCAGUAACUGACGCUGAGGAGCGAAAGCGUGGGGAGCGAACAGGAUUAGAUAUCCUGGUAGUCCACGCCGUAAACGGUGGGUACUAGGUGUGGGUUUGCUUCCUUGGGAUCCGUGCCGUAGCUAACGCAUUAAGUACCCCGCCUGGGGAGUACGGCCGCAAGGCUAAAACUCAAAGAAAUUGACGGGGGCCCGCACAAGCGGCGGAGCAUGUGGAUUAAUUCGAUGCAACGCGAAGAACCUUACCUGGGUUUGACAUGCACAGGACGUGCCUAGAGAUAGGUAUUCCCUUGUGGCCUGUGUGCAGGUGGUGCAUGGCUGUCGUCAGCUCGUGUCGUGAGAUGUUGGGUUAAGUCCCGCAACGAGCGCAACCCUUGUCUCAUGUUGCCAGCACGUAAUGGUGGGGACUCGUGAGAGACUGCCGGGGUCAACUCGGAGGAAGGUGGGGAUGACGUCAAGUCAUCAUGCCCCUUAUGUCCAGGGCUUCACACAUGCUACAAUGG